GACGAUUUUGAAAUGCGCAAAAGAAAAAUAAAAACGACGGAAGUAUAAUUCGAACCACAGCCUAUAGGUGGGAAGUCUGAAACGCGUAAAUUACCCUAAAUUACGCAUUAGGUACGCGGGCUAAUUUAAUUUGUACGCCGAAAGUGAAGAUAUACCGAAAUGGUGUUUUUGAUCGGGACAGUAUAAUGAUCGUAGUGUAAGCCAAUUUUUUAAAGAAAAACUAUAACUAAACAUGUGUCAUGUGAAUAAUUUGAAACGUAUUUACUAAUCGAAAAUGUUUUAAUGUAGCUUCUUCGCCACACCCAGAAUACAAACAAAAACGCGAUGAAAAAUCGAGAUUGUAAGUGUAUACCAAUCCAACAAUCGAAUUCGCAAAGUUCUAUAACAAUAUGUUAUAUGAAAAUCGUCUACGUUAUUUCGUUUCCUUGGUUUUCGGCGUUCAAAACUAAAAUUUAAUGAAAUAAAAUUUAUUCGCGUUAAUGCAUAAUACGAUACCAAAUUUAUAUUAGACCCGCACACACAUAAUGUGGCCUCAUUUCCUGGUCGUUUCUUCGAUUUUAUCGGC